AUACGGAGGGGGCUAGCGUUGUUCGGAAUUACUGGGCGUAAAGCGCGCGUAGGCGGCCAUGCAAGUUGGGCGUGAAAGCCCGGGGCUCAACCCCGGAAUAGCGCUCAAGACUGCAUGGCUCGAGACCGAGAGAGGUGAGUGGAAUUCCCAGUGUAGAGGUGAAAUUCGUAGAUAUUGGGAAGAACACCAGUGGCGAAGGCGGCUCACUGGCUCGGUACUGACGCUGAGGUGCGAAAGCGUGGGGAGCAAACAGGAUUAGAAACCCCAGUAGUCC
rnacentral:rRNA from 1 species